CCUACGGGAGGCAGCAGUGGGGAAUAUUGCACAAUGGAGGGAACUCUGAUGCAGCGACGCCGCGUGAGUGAAGAAGUAAUUCGUUAUGUAAAGCUCUAUCAGCAGGGAAGAAAGUGACGGUACCUGAAAAAGAAGCUCCGGCUAAAUACGUGCCAGCAGCCGCGGUAAUACGUAUGGAGCAAGCGUUAUCCGGAUUUACUGGGUGUAAAGGGAGAGUAGGUGGCAGAGCAAGUCCGAAGUGAAAACCCAAAGCUCAACUAUGGGAAUGCUUUAGAAACUGCUCAGCUAGAGUGCAGGAGAGGCAAGUGGAAUUCUUAGUGUAGCGAUGAAAUGCGUAGAUAUUGCGCAGAACUCCGAUUGCGAAGGCAGCAUACCGGCGGCGAUCUGACGCUGAGGCACGAAAGCGUGGGUAUCGAACAGGAUUAGAUACCCGUGUAGUC
rnacentral:rRNA from 1 species